CAGCAGCCGCGGGAAUACGAAGGGUGCAAGCGUUACUCGGAAUUACUGGGCGGAAAGCGUGCGUAGGUGGUGGUUUAAGUCCGUUGUGAAAGCCCUGGGCUCAACCUGGGAAUUGCAGUGGAUACUGGAUCACUAGAGUGUGGUAGAGGAUAGUGGAAUUUCCGGUGUAGCAGUGAAAUGCGUAGAGAUCGGAAGGAACAUCUGUGGCGAAGGCGACUAUCUGGGCCAACACUGACACUGAGGCACGAAAGCGUGGGGAGCAAACAGGAUUAGAUACCCCUGUAGUCCCUGUCUCUUAUAA
rnacentral:rRNA from 1 species